rnacentral:rRNA from 1 species
GCUUAACCGAAGAAGUGCAUCGGAAACUGGGUGACUUGAGUGCAGAAGAGGACAGUGGAACUCCAUGUGUAGCGGUGGAAUGCGUAGAUAUAUGGAAGAACACCAGUGGCGAAGGCGGCUGUCUGGUCUGCAACUGACGCUGAGGCUCGAAAGCAUGGGUAGCGAACAGGAUUAGAUACCCUGGUAGUCCAUGCCGUAAACGAUGAGUGCUAGGUGUUGGAGGGUUUCCGCCCUUCAGUGCCGGAGCUAACGCAUUAAGCACUCCGCCUGGGGAGUACGACCGCAAGGUUGAAACUCAAAGGAAUUGACGGGGGCCCGCACAAGCGGUGGAGCAUGUGGUUUAAUUCGAAGCUACGCGAAGAACCUUACCAGGUCUUGACAUCUUGCGCUAACCUAAGAGAUCAGGCGUUCCCUUCGGGGACGCAAUGACAGGUGGUGCAUGGUCGUCGUCAGCUCGUGUCGUGAGAUGUUGGGUUAAGUCCCGCAACGAGCGCAACCCUUGUUACUAGUUGCCAGCAUUCAGUUGGGCACUCUAGUGAGACUGCCGGUGACAAACCGGAGGAAGGUGGGGAUGACGUCAGAUCAUCAUGCCCCUUAUGACCUGGGCUACACACGUGCUACAAUGGUCGGUACAACG